AUGGGCAAGGAAAACUGCACCGCUCUGGCUGAGUUCAUUCUCCUCGGACUAUCAGAUGUCCCUGAGUUGAGAGUCGGCCUUUUCCUGCUGUUCCUUCUCAUCUAUGGAGUCAUGUUUUUAGCCAACCUGGGCAUGAUUGCACUGAUUCAGGUCUGCUUUCAGCUCCACACCCCCAUGUACUUUUUCCUCAGCCAUUUGUCCUUUGUAGAUUUCUGCUAUUCCUCAAUAAUUGUGCCAAAGAUGUUGGCUAAUAUCUUCAGCAAGGACAAAGCCAUCUCCUUCCUGGGGUGCAUGGUGCAAUUCUAAUUGUUUUGCACUUGUGUGGUCACUGAGGUCUUCCUGCUGGCUGUGAUGGCCUAUGACCGCUUUGUGGCCAUCUGUAACCCCUUGCUGUACAUGGUCACCAUGUCUCAGAAGCUGCGUGUGGAGCUGGCAUCUUGCUGCUACUUCUGUGGGACGGUGUGUUCGCUGAUUCACUUGUGCUUAGCUCUGAGGAUCCCCUUCUAUAGAUCUAAUGUGAUAAACCACUUCUUCUGUGAUCUGCCUCCUCUCUUAAGUCUUGCUUGCUCUAAUAUCACUCUGAAUGAGGCGCUGCUGUUCCUGGUGACCAUUUUGAAUGAGAGCGUUACCAUCGUGAUCAUCCUGACCUCCUAUCUGCUAAUUCUUUUUUUUUUUUUUAAUUUUGACUAUUUUUAA